AUUGAACGCUGGCGGCAUGCCUUACACAUGCAAGUCGAACGGUAACAGGUCUUCGGAUGCUGACGAGUGGCGAACGGGUGAGUAAUACAUCGGAACGUGCUCGAUCGUGGGGGAUAACGAGGCGAAAGCUUUGCCAAUACCGCAUAAGAUCUAUGGAUGAAGGCAGGGGACCGCAAGGCCUUGCGCGAACGGAGCGGCCGAUGGCAGAUUAGGUAGUUGGUGGUGUAAAGGCUUACCAAGCCUACGAUCUGUAGCUGGUCUGAGAGGACGACCAGCCACACUGGGACUGAGACACGGCCCAGACUCCUACGGGAGGCAGCAGUGGGGAAUUUUGGACAAUGGGCGCAAGCCUGAUCCAGCCAUGCCGCGUGCAGGAUGAAGGCCUUCGGGUUGUAAACUGCUUUUGUACGGAACGAAAAGCCUCUUUCUAAUAAAGAGGGGUCAUGACGGUACCGUAAGAAUAAGCACCGGCUAACUACGUGCCAGCCGCCGCCGUAACAC
rnacentral:rRNA from 1 species